GAUGAACGCUAGCGGCAGGCUUAACACAUGCAAGUCGAGGGGCAGCGCGGGAUAGCAAUAUCCUGGCGGCGACCGGCGGAAGGGUGCGUAACGCGUGAGCGACAUGCCCGUUGCCCGGGGACAACCGGUGGAAACGCCGACUAAUCCCCGAUGGGAUAUUGUGCCGCAUGGCACGAUAUUGAAAGUUACGGCGGCGACGGAUUGGCUCGCGUCCGAUUAGCUUGUUGGCGGGGUAACGGCCCACCAAGGCUGCGAUCGGUAGGGGUUCUGAGAGGAAGGCCCCCCACAAUGGGACUGAGACACGGCCCAUACUCCUACGGGAGGCAGCAGUGAGGAAUAUUGGUCAAUGGGCGGAAGCCUGAACCAGCCAUGCCGCGUGCGGGAAGGAGGCCCUAUGGGCUGUGAACCGCUUUUGCCUGGGGGAAAUAAGGGCGUCGCGCACGUCCGAUGAGAGUACCAGGCGAAUAAGCAUCGGCUAACUCCGUG
rnacentral:rRNA from 1 species